rnacentral:tRNA from 1 species
UGCCUUAGUAGCUUAAACCCAAAGCACCGGUCUUGUAA